UGUUAUAGUACAGUUUCAUCACAGAACCCCUUCCCUUUCUUUCUUACUUAGAUUAGAGAGGGGAAUGGCCACUAGUUUAAAUUUCUAGUAUGGUUAACAAAAGCUAGCUAGAAAUAUAUAUUUCAAUUUAAUGAUGAUGCAAGGGUUGGUCCUACUAUUAUGUAUACUUGUAUAAUGUGGAUCUAAGAACACCAACAAUAAGAAUAUUUCCCCCACCUUCAAG
rnacentral:lncRNA from 1 species